rnacentral:rRNA from 1 species
UCUGGGAUUAGAUACCCUGUUAUUUAAAAUGUAAUUAUUUUAUUAAGGUAGUAAUAGUUAUGUUCUUGAAACUUAAAAAAUUUGGCGGUAUUUUAGUCUAUUCAGAGGAACCUGUUCUGUAAUUGAUAUUCCACGUUGGACCUUACUUAAAUUUGUUUUGCAAUUUAUAUACCGUUGUUAUUAAAAUAUUUUAUAAAAAAGAUAAUAUUUAAUUUUUUGGAUAAAAAUUUAUAUCAAAUCAAGGUGUAGUUUAUGUUUAAGUAGAAAUGGGUUACAAUAAAUUUAUUUUUGGAUAUAAAUAUGAAAAAUUUAUUGAAAUUGGAUUUGAUAGUAAAAUUAUAAAGAUUAAUAAUUUGAUUUUAGCUCUAAAAUAUGUACAAAUCGCCCGUCACUCUCUGA